rnacentral:rRNA from 1 species
GACGAACGCUGGCGGCGUGCUUAACACAUGCAAGUGGAGCGACGAACCAGGGCUUGCCCUGGGGCAGAGCCGCGAACGGGUGAGUAACACGUGGGAACCUGCCCAGAUGACCGGGACAACCCGAGGGAACUCGGGCUAAUACCGGAUGUGCUGUCCCCACAUCAGUGGGGUUAGGAAAGGUAGCUUCGGCUUCCGCAUCUGGAUGGGCCCGCGGCCCAUUAGCUUGUUGGUGAGGUAACGGCUCACCAAGGCUUCGAUGGGUAGCUGGUCUGAGAGGACGAUCAGCCACACUGGGACUGAGACACGGCCCAGACUCCUACGGGAGGCAGCAGUGGGGAAUCUUGCGCAAUGCGCGAAAGCGUGACGCAGCAACGCCGCGUGCGGGAAGACGGCCUUCGGGUUGUAAACCGCUUUCAGUUGGGACGAAGCCUUUGCGGUUAAUAGCCGUGGAAGGUGACGGUACCUUCAGAAGAAGCCCCGGCUAACUACGUGCCAGCAGCCGCGGUAA